rnacentral:rRNA from 1 species
UUGACCUCAGAUCAGGUAGGGAUACCCGCUGAACUUAAGCAUAUCAAUAAGCGGAGGAAAAGAAACCAACCGGGAUUGCCCUAUUAACGAGCAGUGAAGCGGCAAGAGCUCAAAUU